rnacentral:rRNA from 1 species
CGGAUUGCAGGCUGCAACUCGCCUGCAUGAAGCUAGAAUUGCUAGUAAUCGCGGAUCAGCAAGCCGCGGUGAAUACGUUCCCGGGCCUUGUACACACCGCCCGUCACACCAUGAGAGUCGGGAACACCCGAAGUCCGUAGUCUAACCGCAAGGGGGGCGCGGCCGAAGGCGGGUCCGGUAAUUGGGGUGAAGUCGUAACAAGGUACC